rnacentral:rRNA from 1 species
UAAGGAAUAUUGGUCAAUGGACGCAAGUCUGAACCAGCCAUGCCGCGUGAAGGAUGAAGGUCCUCUGGAUUGUAAACUUCUUUUAUCUGGGACGAAAACGGGAUUUUUAUCUCAAUUGACGGUACCAGAGGAAUAAGCACCGGCUAACUCCGUGCCAGCAGCCGCGGUAAUACGGAGGGUGCGAGCGUUAUCCGGAUUUACUGGGUUUAAAGGGUGCGUAGGUGGGCUUAUAAGUCAGUGGUGAAAUCUCCGAGCUUAACUUGGAAACUGCCGUUGAUACUAUAGGUCUUGAAUUAUCUGGAGGUAAGCGGAAUAUGUCAUGUAGCGGUGAAAUGCUUAGAUAUGACAUAGAACACCAAUUGCGAAGGCAGCUUACUACAUAUAAAUUGACGCUGAGGCACGAGAGCGUGGGGAUCAAACA